rfam:Crassostrea gigas strain 05x7-T-G4-1.051#20 contig23139, whole genome shotgun sequence.
CAAACGGCCGUUUUCACGGCCACCCAUAUUUUUCGAAAAGAUGUCU